rnacentral:ncRNA from 2 species
UCACAAAGGGCCGGGCAAGGCCCCGUGUGAUGAAAAGGGAAUGCCGUGAAAAUCGGCAGCAGUUCCCGCUGCUGUAAGUUCCGCGAAUUGCCGCAACACGCUGAAGCCACUGGUCGCAGGACCGGGAAGGCGUUGCGGCAGGAACGAGCCAGAAGACCUGCCUUGCAAUCUCCCUCAGG